CAGUCGUACCGACGGAAAAUCAGCUCUUUGAGUGCGGACUUGUGGGCUUACGUGAGUUUAAACACCUCGCUGUUUGCAACGUUCGUGUUUUUGGGUGUACUUUUUCGUAUGGUAGGCCAAUGUCAGUUUCGAUCGCUAUAAAAUGACCGGCGGAAUGUAGCUUCGAUCUCGUAUUGAAGUGUUAUAGCCUCUGGUAGAUGUGGUGAUCGGGACUGAGGAUUGCAACGAAUACCUUUUUGGGCUAUCCGUCUGAUCUCUGAAGGUUGCUUAGGUGCCGAAAGCGUGCUUACGGUUAUUUAAGUUGACAGUCAAAAGGUUAGAACGUGAUUAUA
rnacentral:rRNA from 1 species